CCCCUAGAUGUUCUGGGCCGCACGCGCGCUACACUGAACAGUUCAACAAGUCUUAACUUUGGCCGAUAGGUCUGGGUAAUCUUUGAACGCUGUUCGUGAUUGGGAUAGACCUUUGCAAUUAUGGGUCUUCAACGAGGAAUUCCUAGUAAACGCAAGUCAUCAGCUUGCAUUGAUUACGUCCCUGCCCUUUGUACACACCGCCCGUCGCACCUACCGAUUGAAUGGUCCGGUGAAAUCUCGGGACGGCGGCUUGGUCGCUUGCGUCCGACUGCUGAAACUUGAUUAAACCAUAUCAUUUAGAGGAAGGUGAANUCGUANCA
rnacentral:rRNA from 1 species